GAAUUUUAUAUAAAUAAUAGUAAAUAAUUUAAAUUUAAUUAAGAUGAUAUAUUAUUAUUUAUAUUUUGUUGGGAGGAUAAUUAAAUUUGAAAAACUUUAAUUAAAAUAAAAUAUUAAUGAGUAAAAAGAAGAAGAUUAAAAAUAUAAUUUAGUAUAAAAAGAAUUAAUUACCUUAGGGAUAACAGCAUAAAAUUUUUAGAGAGAUCUUAUUAAUAAAAAUAUUUGU
rnacentral:rRNA from 1 species